CUGAGGCUUUCUUGGAGCCGUUUCGUCAAUAUCAAUACUGGCAUUUUUCCGGUAUGUUUAAAAGCCAGACGAAGGACUGCGGCUUUCAUGUAAUGAGCUUGAUAAACAACUGAGUCAUUACUAUAUUUACAAAAGCUCUGUAAUCGGUGGAAAGCUGUUCUGCUAAUUGAAACAAGAACGUUUUUCGUUGUAUUUGUAUUCCUGUCGCUUCUUUGUAAAGGAUCCAAGCAUUUAUAUCAGCCACAACUACCGGAAAUGAAGGAGGGGAAGGCAACUACAAUGAUUAAUAAACACAUUUACAUGUUGUACAAAAAGUCACAAAAUUAUAAAUAGCUGUGUCAUUAUAUACACAAUUGUUUUUCUAAUUGAAAUUGAAAAGCCGUCAAAAUGACUUCCUUAGGCAAUCUAGUGUUAAACAGCACUAGGGAAAAGUUUGAUACCCUGAAGCACACCCCCGAAACACUAAAUUGGCAUGUAUUGAAUUUAAUCUUUGCAAUAAAAAGAGAAUUUGCAUUAAAUUUCUCGGACAAAUGAUUCGAAAUUUCUUGCAGUCGCUGCCUAUUUCUGCCAUAAGCUUAUUAUGGUAUGUUAUAUUACAUAUAGUAUGUUGAGUAUUAUAGCUUAUUAUAUAGCAUUACCCAUAGC